AGCAGAGCCCUGCACGGGGGCUGUGUCCAAGGGCCUGCAGAGACAGCAGCGGGGCAAUGGCUCCCCAGUGCCACAGGGCAGGCUGAGAUGGGCUCUGGGGAAGGAAGUCUUGGCUCUCAGGGCCGUGGGGCUCUGGCACAGGAUGCUCAGAGAAGCUGUGGCUGCCCCGUCCCUGCCAGCGCUCCAGCCCAGGCUGGAUGAGCCUUGGAGGAACCUGGCCUGGCCUGAGGUGUGCCAGCCCAUGGCAGAGGGGUAGAACUGGAGCAGCUUGGAGGCCACUCUGGACACUCACAGACACCGUGUUUGUUCAACACCACCUUCACUGGAGCUUUGUGAUGACUCCCAGAGGGAGCAGAAGACCCCGAGAAGGGAGUCAGUGUCAUUUUGAAAAAACAAUCAGGCUCCUCCAAAAUCCUGCCCAGCUUACCUGCACCUUCCUGCUCACAGUCCGAGUCAUUCGAAUCAGCCUGGCCAUUCUCUUCUUUAGCAUUCUCAUGGUCCUCCACAUUUCCCUCAAGUCUCUGACUGUCCUCCGUAACCGAAGUCUUCUCGCCUCGAUUUCUCUCCUGCGCCUUCUCGCCUCUGCCUCGGCUCUGCGGGCCACUGCUCUCAGCCUCACGGCUGCUCUUCUGCGUCUCACCCACAGCCCUAAAGGCAGAAGCAGAAGUUCAGCAGCAGCCCAGAAGGGUCCUUGCUGCAAGGCCGCCGUGAGCAGGGGUCCCCAGCCAGGCUCAGGGGGCUCUGGGGUAGCCUGCUCCAGGUCCUCUGCGCUCAGCUUCGCAUCCUCAUCCAAACUGUUCUGUACGGGCUGGGGGAACAGGAGGAGGAGCAGCGUAACCAGGCCAAGGACUGAUCUGCGCUCCAUGGUCUGCAGGAGGACACUGACAGGCGUGUCAGUGGGGUGAGCCAGGGAGCUUGUGGGGGCUGAAGUGAGGCCCAGAGGCGCAGGGAUGUGAGGGCAGGAAGCAGAGGGCUGUCCCAGACAGCUGGCAGGCAGCAAGGCCUGUCCCAGUGGGCCAGCAGCAGCAGCCCCGUGCCCUUCCCAAGGCGCUGGCACCAGGAGCUGGCCCUGGAUGCAGGGGGACAACGCAGACCCAGGU
rnacentral:lncRNA from 1 species